rnacentral:rRNA from 1 species
UACCAGCACCCCGAGUGGUAGGGACGUUUAUUGGGCCUAAAGCGUCCGUAGCCGGUUCUACAAGUCUUCCGUUAAAUCCAGCUGCUUAACAGAUGGGCUGCGGAAGAUACUAUGGAGCUAGGAGGCGGGAGAGGCAAGCGGUACUCGAUGGGUAGGGGUAAAAUCCGUUGAUCCAUUGAAGACCACCAGUGGCGAAGGCGGCUUGCCAGAACGCGCUCGACGGUGAGGGAUGAAAGCUGGGGGAGCAAACCGG